AUUGAACGCUGGCGGCAUGCCUUACACAUGCAAGUCGAACGGUAACGGGCCUUCGGGUGCCGACGAGUGGCGAACGGGUGAGUAAUGCAUCGGAACGUACCUUUCAGUGGGGGAUAACGUAGCGAAAGUUACGCUAAUACCGCAUAUUCUGUGAGCAGGAAAGCAGGGGAUCGCAAGACCUUGCGCUGAUUGAGCGGCCGAUGUCAGAUUAGCUAGUUGGUGAGGUAAAGGCUCACCAAGGCGACGAUCUGUAGCGGGUCUGAGAGGAUGAUCCGCCACACUGGGACUGAGACACGGCCCAGACUCCUACGGGAGGCAGCAGUGGGGAAUUUUGGACAAUGGGGGCAACCCUGAUCCAGCCAUGCCGCGUGAGUGAAGAAGGCCUUCGGGUUGUAAAGCUCUUUCGGCCGGGAAGAAAUCGCACAGGCUAAUACCUUGUGUGGAUGACGGUACUGGAAUAAGAAGCACCGACUAACUACGUGCCAGCAGCCGCAGUAACAC
rnacentral:rRNA from 1 species